rnacentral:rRNA from 1 species
UACGGGGGGAGCAAGCGUUGUUCGGAUUUACUGGGCGUAAAGGGUGCGUAGGCGGCCCUGUAAGUCAGUGGUGAAAUACUCUAGCUUAACUAGAGGGGUGCCAAUGAUACUGCAGGGCUUGAGUACAGAUGAGGUAGGCGGAAUUGACGGUGUAGCGGUGAAAUGCAUAGAUAUCGUCAAGAACACCUAUAGCGAAGGCAGCUUACUGGGCUGUAACUGACGCUGAGGCACGAAAGUGUGGGGAUCAAACAGG